UGUGCAGGAGGGAUGGGGAGGACCAAAAGAACUCCAUCUUCUCAUUUUGUAUCACACUUCAAAACCUUUGCGCAUCAAUCUACUCUUCAUCCUGUGACUACUUCAUGAGAAUGAUAAAGGUGCAUCUUCUGAAGUAGAGAGAAGUGUCUCUUAGCAAUGUCAGCAAUCCAGCGAAGGACUUACUGAAGGAAGCUGCUUCAAAUCUUGGAUUUAUGCAAAUUAAGACGUUUGAACAAGGAAACGACCUAUCAGAUGGUCACAAUCAGUUCUGGAAUCAAGGCAGAAAAGCCAUUUUGAAGUACCGCUGCUUCUGUGAGGCUGUGACUCCAAACCAGGUGCCUUUGAAGGGAUGCUGCCUUCAGCAGCCUCCCCCUGCUGCUUCUUGAGCCUAGUCAAACCUUUGUGGCUACAACUGCAUUCGGUCAUCAGAGGCUACAUCUGAUGCUUCAGAGGAACUUCCCUGGGACCUCCUCUGGUCUCUCUUUUACAGCAAGAGCUUUGAGGCCGACAGGGGACCACCCGUGGAAGCCCAGAGGUGCUACAUGCCAUGGAGCAUCUCGGCUGUCUCGCACCAUGAUCAGGAGGCAGCUGGUCUCUGUAAUGCCCGAGAUGCUGGCUGCGAUGCGGACUACGGGCACUGUGGAGAUGCAUGUCCCUCACGACUGACAGAAAAGCAUAAGGAAUACUGCCAAGUGUGUUGGAGAGUGACAGGGAAACCCACAGUGUGUGAAGGUUGAUCGUGCGGCUCCUGUGCGUUAUGUUCAGGACCAGAAAACCAGACCAAGAACUCCACAGCAGACUCACAGUAACAUAUCUCCCCAAACAGAUCUCACCUUAAUCUCUAUUAUAGGCUGUUUGCAAAACUCAAGAGCCAAGUAAGUUUAAGAAUCCUUCUAAAACUCUUGGUAUUCCCAAUACAGCAUCAGUUUUGAAUCCUAAGGUCUGGGCUUCAGAUUUCCUGUAAUAAUGACCUCUGUUGAAUGUGCUUUGUGAAAAAACCCCUCCAUGACAGACUUGCUCACCAUCCAAGACUGACCCGGUAAGGAAAAUAUUUCCAACAGUCUUACAAUUGAAGAUUUUUACAUAACUGCUGAUGAUAAAAAAGACCACACUGAAUCAGACUAACAAGAGUUAAGGGUGGGACUCAUAUUGCUGAAUUAAUGCAUUUGUAGCAAAUUUUACGAUGCAUACAGAGGCCUUAGAUCUUUCAUUUGUAUGAUAUUUUAAUUUUUUUCCCCUGAACGUUUCUCAUCUCACUCAUACCAUCUCUUCUUUCUGCUGACUUCUUUCUCCCUUUUAUAGAUAGAAAGCAUGCUACUUUAUCAAAAUUUUCAGUAUGGAUUCUGAGUAUAUUUCAUGAAAUCUGCUGUUUAAAAUCCAACUUGGUGCUGUACAGCAUUGACACUGCUAUACUGCAGAGGGUUGAGGAUAGUAUGAAAAUGGUGAACUUUAUUUUUUUUUCCCUUUUGCACUGAAUAUUACAGAAUUGUUAUCACUGGAAGCUUUCAAUUUAAAUCUUUAUAUUUAAAAAUGAGAGCAUUCACAAACACACAUGAAAGCGUAUACUAGGGAAGAGCUGCUUGUGUUUUUUGUACAACUUCUAAAGAAACAAAAAGUAAUAACCACAAGUCUCUAAAGGACAGGGAUGGAUGGAAUGGAUGGAUGGAUGAACGGAUGGCCAAAUAAAAAGGGAAAGGAACAAUCAGUAGUUUGAAACAUGCUAAGAUAUUCAAGAUACUCUUAUAACUGUUAAUCUAUUUCAGUUACCUUUUCUGUUCUCUUCUAAUAACUAAAUCCAGACAUCACACAAUUAGUCAUUAGAUCUGUUCAAGCUAAUGCUUUUAAUAUAUUGAAAUCUGAAUUUUUAAAUCAAGAAAUACCUUCAGGGAAAAAUUGGCUUCUAUCACAAAGAGUAAUUUAGGAAAACCAGGUGUAGCUACAAGCCCUUGUUUCAUACUCUUACUGUUCAACUUCAAAUUGGAAUGGGGCAUAGGUCUAACAGUUUUCAAAGAACACAGCAUAAAAAUAGUAAGCAACAUGAAAAUAAUGUUGGUAAGAGAUUUUUAAAUAGCUUUUUGUUACAUUUGAUUCUUUCAUCUAAUUGGAAGGCAAGAAAAUGGAUACUAACACGUGGCUUAUGUUUUCAGCAACAAUGCAAAGCGUUACCUUUUUCUAUUUUUUUCAGUCCAGCAAUACUGUAACUCGAGUGCAAGACUGAAAAAAAAAUCCUUCACAAAGGUGAUUCGGACCAAGUAUUUCUUGCAUAACACACUAGUGUUAAACAGAGAUCUACAGAGCAAGGAAGUGUGACACGAUUUCUUGAGAACAAGUGCAUGAAAGCCGAAUUACUUAUUUUGCAUACUGGCAUGAGACUGCUAAUAGCUGGUGACACAGUGCUCUGCUACGUAAGGACACUGAGUGCUGACCAGCCCGUUCUCCGCCACACCCUGAUGCUGUGCUGAAUGCAAGACACUGGUGGCUGGUCCUCACGAGGCAUCAGCGGGGAAGGUGUGUCCUGGCACGCAGGACAGACCCCUUCUGUCCUGAUCCGCAUUAAAGGUGCCCGUGACAUGGGAUUAGGUCCCGUCACUACUUUCUGUUCUGUGCACGUGGAUGAAGACUAGGUUGUAACAGCACGGAGCAGAGAAGCUAGCAAUACUGGUUUCUCAUGAAAGCUUUUCAUAAGAGAAAGAAAAAAAAAAAAUAAAAGCCAACAGAGCACAGGUAAAAAGUCUUGAAAUCAUUAUGGAUAAAUUAUCACAAUUGCAUUGUGAAGCUGUCAGCCCCGACCC